GAACCUUUAUUCUCUUCCUUCUCCUCUCAAGAAGACAGGUCUGUAGGAUCCAUAAAAGGAGUUUCUCAUGGAUUCAUGUUGUCUAUACUUUAUGUCAUGGCCCCUCCUGUAGGCAAGAGCCCUGAAAAGCUCCGGCAAGCAUUGAGCGGUGGACUUCACUGAUCAGAAGUUUGUCCCUAUAACUUCUACCCACUGAUUCCAGAUGUAUUGCGGCAACCACAUGAAACCAGGAUGAUGCUUGAACAUCUCUCCGUGUCUACUUUUAUCCAUGCCCAACAGCCUUAUUUUUGAUGGUUUUUCCUAAGAGAUGAGUAGCACGAACAGGGGAGAGAGGCAGAGGGGGAGAGAGAGAAUCUGAAGCAGGCUCCACACCCAGUGCCCAGACCAACACGGGGCUCAGUCUCCUGACCCGGGGAUCGUGACCUGAGCCAAAACCAAGAGUCGGAUGCUCAACCGAGCCACCCAGGUGCCCUGAGUUUGAUUAUUUUAGAUUCAACCUGUAAGUGAGCUCACGUGCUAUUGGCCUUUCUGUGUCUUGCUUAUUUCACUCAGCCGACUGUUCUCCACGUCCCUCUCUGUUGUUGCAAAUGGUAGGAUUUCCUUUCUUUUUAACCAACGGCUGAGUAACAUUCUAUUGAAUGUGCACACCACAGUUUUUAAUCCAUUUCUCCGUGGAUGGACACUCAGGUAAUUUCCACGUCUCGGCCCUGGUGGAUAACGUGGCAGUGAACUUAAGUGCAGACGUUUCAAGAUCGGGAUUCCACCGCAAAAUAAAAAGACAACAUACAAUCGGGGAAAAUAUUUGCAAUGCAUAUAUCUGGCGAGGGGUUGAUAUACAAAUUAUAAAAGGACCUCACACAACUCAGUAGCAGGGGAACAAAUGCUAUUUUCCUCUGCUAGGGAGCCUGCCUUGAUGCAUUCUCCUGCCCCUGUUCUUUUGCCCACUCUAUUUCCUCUGUUCAGAAUACCGUUUUAUCUGGGAAACACCCAUCCACAUUGUCUCUGCUUUCAAAAGGAGAGCUUGGCUCUUACCUUUUCCAUGACGCCUUCUUUGUCUCCUCUAUCCCAUAACGCUGUCUCCAGCGUUCCUUGUAGGGCAGGCUGUCUCUAAGGAUCAUCUGUCGCCUAGUCAUACCCUGCUUUGUGUCGUUUUCUACUGUUUUGGAAGAGUUUGCUUUCUCUCUCUAAUUAAAGCCCCAUUUGCCAAAGUCAGUGGUGUGUCCGACCAUGCCGGAUGUCGUAUUGAUGGGGGAGUCACUCGACAUCUUUGUUGAAUAUAUGAAUGAAUAGAUGAA